AAACUAAGGCUGAGGCGUGAUGACGAGGCACUACGGUGCUGAAGCAACAAAUGCCCUGCUUCCAGGAAAAGCCUCUAAGCAUCAGGUAACAUCAAAUCGUACCCCAAACCGACACAGGUGGUCAGGUAGAGAAUACCAAGGCGCUUGAGAGAACUCGGGUGAAGGAACUAGGCAAAAUGGUGCCGUAACUUCGGGAGAAGGCACGCUGAUAUGUAGGUGAAGUCCCUCGCGGAUGGAGCUGAAAUCAGUCGAAGAUACCAGCUGGCUGCAACUGUUUAUUAAAAACACAGCACUGUGCAAACACGAAAGUGGACGUAUACGGUGUGACGCCUGCCCGGUGCCGGAAGGUUAAUUGAUGGGGUCAGCGCAAGCGAAGCUCUUGAUCGAAGCCCCGGUAAACGGCGGCCGUAACUAUAACGGUCCUAAGGUAGCGAAAUUCCUUGUCGGGUAAGUUCCGACCUGCACGAAUGGCGUAAUGAUGGCCAGGCUGUCUCCACCCGAGACUCAGUGAAAUUGAACUCGCUGUGAAGAUGCAGUGUACCCGCGGCAAGACGGAAAGACCCCGUGAACCUUUACUAUAGCUUGACACUGAACAUUGAGCCUUGAUGUGUAGGAUAGGUGGGAGGCUUUGAAGUGUGGACGCCAGUCUGCAUGGAGCCGACCUUGAAAUACCACCCUUUAAUGUUUGAUGUUCUAACGUUGACCCGUAAUCCGGGUUGCGGACAGUGUCUGGUGGGUAGUUUGACUGGGGCGGUCUCCUCCUAAAGAGUAACGGAGGAGCACGAAGGUUGGCUAAUCCUGGUCGGACAUCAGGAGGUUAGUGCAAUGGCAUAAGCCAGCUUGACUGCGAGCGUGACGGCGCGAGCAGGUGCGAAAGCAGGUCAUAGUGAUCCGGUGGUUCUGAAUGGAAGGGCCAUCGCUCAACGGAUAAAAGGUACUCCGGGGAUAACAGGCUGAUACCGCCCAAGAGUUCAUAUCGACGGCGGUGUUUGGCACCUCGAUGUCGGCUCAUCACAUCCUGGGGCUGAAGUAGGUCCCAAGGGUAUGGCUGUUCGCCAUUUAAAGUGGUACGCGAGCUGGGUUUAGAACGUCGUGAGACAGUUCGGUCCCUAUCUGCCGUGGGCGCUGGAGAACUGAGGGGGGCUGCUCCUAGUACGAGAGGACCGGAGUGGACGCAUCACUGGUGUUCGGGUUGUCAUGCCAAUGGCACUGCCCGGUAGCUAAAUGCGGAAGAGAUAAGUGCUGAAAGCAUCUAAGCACGAAACUUGCCCCGAGAUGAGUUCUCCCUGACUCCUUGAGAGUCCUGAAGGAACGUUGAAGACGACGACGUUGAUAGGCCGGGUGUGUAAGCGCAGCGAUGCGUUGAGCUAACCGGUACUAAUGAACCGUGAGG
rnacentral:rRNA from 1 species